AGCCUUAUCUCAUAGAGCUUUCUAAGAAGUAUGGAGUACAUGUUUGUGGAGAAGGUGGAGAGUAUGAAACUUUCACUUUGGAUUGCCCUCUAUUUAAGAAGAAAAUAAUUGUGGAUUCAUCAGAAGUAGUCAUACAUUCAGCUGAUGCAUUUGCACCUGUGGCUUAUCUACGCUUUUUAGAAUUGCACUUGGAGGACAAGUGUGAUGCCUACCAACAUGUUAUGAUGCAGCAAGAAGGCUCUCACCAGAUGGUGGCAUCUUUAUAGUGGACUUUUCAGCCUCCAGAACUGUGAGUUCAUUCAUGAGGGUGGAGUCAUCAUGGUCUAAUUAAUUAUUACAGAUCCUACUACGAGCCAAUUCAUUUCUGUUCUUAAUAACUUACUCAGUCUGUAGUAUUCUGUUACAGCAGCAUAAAACAGACUAAGACACUCAUCAAUUGUAACAAAUCUACUACACUAAUCCAAAAUGUUAAUAGAGGAAACUGUGGGGAGAGGUUGGGAGGUGAUGUGGGACCUCUUGGUAUUUCCCACUCAACUUUUCUGUAAACGUAAAACUGCCCUCCCAAAAUAGUCUAUUUUUAAAAAAUAAAAGUAGUCAAAAAUCUAAAAGAAAAAAAUUAUAGUAGACAGAUAUAUGAUAUCACAAGUAUAGUAAAAUGUUAAUAGUGGUAGUGUAUGUGGAUGUUCCUUAUUAUACUCUGCUUUGUGUUUGGCAUUUUUCAUAAUAAAUGUGUAACAAAGUCAUUGUGGGUAAUAUUAAAAGAAAGCUUAGCAGAGUAAGGUUCAGUUGAACCUGUGGGACUUAAUUCUAAUUCCAUUAUGGAUUUCUCAUAUGAUUCUACUAAAAAAUGUAACUUGAUUUAACUACUUGAAUUACUUAUCUAAAUUAUGAAACCCAGUUGGCCCUGUCUUCAGAAACUAGAAUCCAGAUAAAAUUACCUAUUGUUUGUGAUAUUAACAUGUAUUAUCCCAUCAGCAGAAGAAUCUGAGCAGUGCAUUGUAGUUUUUUUAAACAAUAUUGAUGAUAUGGUAGUAGAAACUGAACAGCUACUCCCUGGACUUUGUCAAUGUACUUGUUAUGACUUAGCACUGUUUUAUUUACCAUCCAAAAACAUAUUUUUUAUUACUCACUGCAACAUGACAAUAAUUCCAGUUUUGAGUGGUGUAUAUUUCUCAUUAUGAAUCUAAAUACACAGAACAUUUGCUCUGUUUUCAGUCACUAGGCUGCGUGAAAAUGGUGUAUUAAAAAUAGUCUGACAUAUUUGCAUAUUUAUCUGUAUUAAAAGCGUCAUGAAACAGUUAUUGCAGAUACACAGCUGUUGCUUUUCAACUAUUUUUUAAAGGAACCAUAUCUGCUCUCCUAUAUAAAAUACAUACAUUUUCAAAAGUAUCGUCUGAGCCAAAUGAAUUGCAAAGCCUUAAAGAGGAAAGCUUAUCUCAGAGAAUUAUAAAUUUUUAGUCACUGUGUCUAAAUGAUAAAUUUUUAACCUAAAAUGAUAAACUUGUUCCUUUGCCAAGUCAGAUAUUAUGCAUUGUAAACAGAAAGUAAUUCUGGAAGCUCCUACAAAUUAUGGCUGCAUUUCAGCAUAGAGGCUGUUUACCUACUCUACAGAGCACAUAAAAGGAUGCUGCUUUAUAUCAACCACAUUACGGAAGAGAAGACUACACUUUGUGACUUAAAAUGACAGUUGCUCUUGUAAUGUAAAGAAAUUUUUAUUUUAAGAGCAUUUUUAAAAUAUCUUCAUGAAAGACAAUAGUAUCAUCUUUCUUUUCAAUUAAAAAGAAAACUGUAUGCCUCUGGAAUCCUAGCUACUAUCAUCUUAGUAGUUGCCAGAAAAGGACCCUGAUUUAAAAACAAUUCUAGUGACUUUCAUUAUUUUUUAAGGAUUUCAAUAUGGACUCUCUUGGUGUAAGAAAACAUACAUUUUUUUUCAAUUCUAUGAUCAUAUCAGGUUCAGUUGAUUGUCAUAUAAUUCAAAUAAACACCAGACAUUCUCAUUUUAGUAUCUUAAUUACACUGCUUGUUUUUUUUAAUAAAAAAAAAAAGCUUUAAGCAUAGUUGAACAAAAGAUCUCACCUUUCAUAAUUCAGUUUCACCAUGUUAGCUAAAUAAGAGAGUCCAAAGAAGAGAGGAUUAUCAUAUGUUAAAUAAAAAGUUGGCCACUUUGUAGCAUUAAUCCUAUUAGAAAAAGAUAAUUUCUGUCUAACUUAAUCAGUAAGAAGUCUUUAUUGCCCUGAGUAUUAAUUGAUUAGGUUCUCAUUAAGGUCAAAAGUACACUUGACUGACCACAGGCAGCCAAUUAGCAAAUUGUCAGCCAUGCUUACUUAUAUUGACUGAACAUAAUGGUAGUUAUUUGACUGUCAAGUCAGAAGGUCACUGAAUCUUUUGUGCACUUUGCCCUCUGAAAGGGCAACAGUCAUUCAGACCCCAGAAUGCAUUCAUAACAAAGAUUUAGCUUAUUACUUAUUGACUUAAAUCACCCUUAGAAAAAGGUGUUUCGUUCUCUUUGAACAAAUACUAUAUUAUUUCUUUGUAAAAUACUUGAAGUUUGGUUGAAAUCCUGUGGUUGAUUGUGUCUGAGGAUUUUUGUUCAGCAAGCAGCUUGCACUUGAAACUCUAAAUAGCUUUUUAAAGAGCAGAUCGAUCCAAUGACUACAGUUGGCCCUCUGUAUCUGUGGGUUCUGCAUCUGUGGAUUCAACCGAGGACUGAAAAUAUUUGAAAAAAAAUGUUGUGUCUGUACCGAGCACGUACAGACUUUAUUCUUGUGAUUACUCAGUAAAAAAAAUACAGUAUAACAACUAUUUACAUAGCAUUUACUUUGCAUUAAGUAUUAUAAGUCAUCGAGAGAUGACUUAAAACAUACAGGGAGGAUGUGUGUAUGCCAUUUUAUAUCAGGGACAUGAGCAUUCUCAGAUUUUGGUAUUCAAGGGAGACUCUGGAACCAUUCCCCCACUGACACCAAGAAAGAACUGUAUAUCCCUUUGCAAUAUAAACUUUUCUCCUGCUAUGUGGCUUUGCUCUAAUUGUAGCAAGUUGGGCACACAGUUGCUGAAAUGGCUCUGGGACACCAGUCUCAAAGUUAACGGUUAGAACCAUAUUUGAGGCUCACAUUAAUAAGGACAUUGGUGGCCGGGUGCAGUGGCUCACACCUGUAAUCCCAGCACUUUGGGAGGCCAAGGUGGGUGGAUCGCCUGAGGUCAGGAGUUCAAGACCAGCCUGGCCAACAUAGUGAAACCCCAUCUCUACUAAAAAUACAAAAAUUAGCCGGGCGUGGUGGCAGGUGUCUGUAAUCCCAGCUACUUGGGAGGCUGAGGCAGGAGAAUCGCUUGAACCUGGGAGGCAGAGGUUGCAAUGAGCCGAGAUCCGCCAUUGCACUCCAGCCUGGGCAACAAGAGCAAAACUCCGUCUCAAAAAAAUAAAAAAUAAAUAAAUAA
rnacentral:sRNA from 1 species